rnacentral:rRNA from 1 species
CGUGUAGGCGGGUAGAUAAGUCGGGCGUGAAAUCCCUAGGCUCAACCUAGGAACUGCACUCGAAACUGUUUAUCUUGAGUACCGGAGAGGAAAGCGGAAUUCCUGGUGUAGAGGUGAAAUUCGUAGAUAUCAGGAGGAACACCAGUGGCGAAGGCGGCUUUCUGGACGGUAACUGACGCUGAGACGCGAAAGCGUGGGGAGCAAACAGGAUUAGAUACCCUGGUAGUCCACGCCGUAAACGAUGAGUGCUAGGUGUCGUGGGUAUUGACCCCCGCGGUGCCGAAGCUAACGCAUUAAGCACUCCGCCUGGGAAGUACGGUCGCAAGACUAAA